GAAAACAUUUAUACAAAUAAUUUCAUCCUCCACAUGACAUUUAGAAAAGUUUAGUCUGGCUGGGUACAGUGGCUCACUCCUGUAAUCCCAGCACUUUGGGAGGCCAAGGCAGGUGGAUCACCUUAGGUUAGGAGUUCGAGACCAGCCUGGCCAACAUGGUGAAACCCCGUCUCUACUAAAAAUACAAAAAUUAGCCCGGUGUGGUGGCGUACACAUGUAGUCCUAGCUACUUGGGAGGCUGAGGCAGCAGAAUCACUUGAAUCUGGGAGGCAGAGGUUGCAGUGACCCAAGAUCACGCCACUGCAUUCCAGCCCAGGAGACAGGGUGAGACUCUGUUUCAAAAAGAAAGAAAAGAGAAGAGAAAAGAUGAAAAGGAAAUGUUUAGUUUGAAAUUCCGUUACCGAAAGUUCUCGGGGGUUGGGGGAGGUGGGAGGCAAUAUCUUUUUGCUAUUAUAUUUCUUAUAGUGCAGUGUCAGUGAAACUAUGUCAUCCUUUGUAAAAUCAAUAAAAUCCCUGUCAAUUUAUCUGGCCAUUCGAUACUUUAUCAUCUAUAAUUUUUCAAGACAUCUAUUUGGUUGAAGUGUCUUCAUCAAUUGAUGGACUGUACAUCAGUCUGGUUUGGCAGUUUACAUUGUAUUUUCCUCUGAGUUUAUCUUCUCUGUUUCAUGGACUUCACUAGGGUCAGUGGUUCUUAAGUUGGAUGAUAAGAAACCCCAAUCUUCCAUACAG
rnacentral:lncRNA from 1 species